GAUGAACGCUGGCGGCGUGCUUAACACAUGCAAGUCGAACGGAAAGGCCGAAGCUUGCUUCGGUACUCGAGUGGCGAACGGGUGAGUAACACGUGGGUGAUCUGCCCUGUACUUCGGGAUAAGCUUGGGAAACUGGGUCUAAUACCGGAUAUGACGAUCUCUUGGAUGGGGUUGUGGAAAGCUUUUGCGGUGUGGGAUGAGCUCGCGGCCUAUCAGCUUGUUGGUGGGGUAAUGGCCUACCAAGGCGUCGACGGGUAGCCGGCCGGAGAGGGUGUACGGCCACAUUGGGACUGGGAUACGGCCCAGACUCCUACGGGAGGCAGCAGUGGGGAAUAUUGCACAAUGGGCGCAAGCCUGAUGCAGCGACGCCGCGUGGGGGAUGACGGCCUUCGGGUUGUAAACUCCUUUCGCAAUCGACGAAGCCUUUUGGUGACGGUAGGUUGAGAAGAAGCACCGGCUAACUACGUGC
rnacentral:rRNA from 1 species